UAGGGAAUCUUCGGCAAUGGACGAAAGUCUGACCGAGCAACGCCGCGUGAGUGAAGAAGGUUUUCGGAUCGUAAAACUCUGUUGUUAGAGAAGAACAAGGACGUUAGUAACUGAACGUCCCCUGACGGUAUCUAACCAGAAAGCCACGGCUAACUACGUGCCAGCAGCCGCGGUAAUACGUAGGUGGCAAGCGUUGUCCGGAUGUAUUGGGCGUAAAGCGAGCGCAGGCGGUUUCUUAAGUCUGAUGUGAAAGCCCCCGGCUCAACCGGGGAGGGUCAUUGGAAACUGGGAGACUUGAGUGCAGAAGAGGAGAGUGGAAGUCCAUGUGUGCGGUGAAAUGCGUAGAUAUAUGGAGGAACACCAGUGGCGAAGGCGGCUCUCUGGUCUGUAACUGACGCUGAGGCUCGAGAGCGUGGGGAGCAAACAGG
rnacentral:rRNA from 1 species